UAUUACGUAGUUUAAAUAAAAUAAAUACCUUCUAAGUAUUAGAUUAAAGUGGAGUUUAUGUAAUAU
rnacentral:tRNA from 1 species